GAAAUGCGAUAAGUAGUGUGAAUUGCAGAAUUCAGUGAAUCAUCGAAUCUUUGAACGCACAUUGCGCCUCCUGGUAUUCCGGGAGGCAUGCCUGUUCGAGCGUCAUUAAAAUCAACUCAAGCUCUUUUGCUUGGUCAUGGAAGAAGAGUCUGCCCUGGCAGUCUCCCCUCCGAAAUUCAAUGGCGGAAGGUCCCUGGUAACCCGGCGUAGUAAAACAACGUUCGCUUUGUAUCCAGAGAUGUUCCUGCCCCACAAACCCCCUUUCUUGUGAUUGACCUCGGAUCAGGUAGGGAUACCCGCUGAACUUAA
rnacentral:misc_RNA from 1 species